rnacentral:rRNA from 1 species
GACGAACGCUGGCGGCGUGCUUAACACAUGCAAGUCGAACGAAGAGCGAUGGAAGCUUGCUUCUAUCAAUCUUAGUGGCGAACGGGUGAGUAACGCGUAAUCAACCUGCCCUUCAGAGGGGGACAACAGUUGGAAACGACUGCUAAUACCGCAUACGAUCUAAACUCGGCAUCGAGGAUAGAUGAAAGGUGGCCUCUACAUGUAAGCUAUCACUGAAGGAGGGGAUUGCGUCUGAUUAGCUAGUUGGGGGGGUAACGGCCCACCAAGGCGAUGAUCAGUAGCCGGUCUGGGAGGAUGAACGGCCACAUUGGGACUGAGACACGGCCCAGACUCCUACGGGAGGGAGCAAUGGGGAAUCUUCCGCAAUGGACGAAAGUCUGACGGAGCAACGCCGCGUGGGGGAUGACGGCCUUCGGGUUGUAAAGCUCUGUUAAUCGGGACGAAAGGCCUUCUUGCGAAUAGGGAGAAGGAUUGACGGUACCGGAAUAGAAAGCCACGGCUAACUACGUG